CUAUCUCUAUUUAUAGGUACCCGUAACCGUGAAUAGGAAUAGUAACUCAUGAGAAAAAUACUAGGAUAUAAAUCCUAGUAAUGACAUAUUAUCGGCGCGGUA